UUUUAAGGCCCCCCCUAUGACAAUCGAAGCAGCCCUGACAAGAAAAACGAGAUAGUGUGCGGUUGAUCGGUCAUGCAAUCUGUCAAAUUUUCAAAAAAUACAGUUUGUUUACAUUUUGAACCGAACGAUAGCUCUCACGAUGUACAACGGCGAAUGAUUAAAAAAAGGCUACUUCGGUGAUGAAAAUGUUGUGUGUAAUGUGUACAAUAAACAGCCUAAAAAUUAUAAAUGGUGGUAGAAUCGACUUCGCACGCCUGAAAGCCGUUUAGGCUGUUGUGCAACCGUGUUGAGCCGGCGAUAGUUAGAAAGAGGGAAGAAAGAAUGCCCGCAAUCAAACUAAACGAUGUUUGAUCAUGGAAAACAAGUUAAAAAGCAUACAAAGCUCGCUCGCUGUUGGACGCUUGGACAAUUACUUUUACAAUCAUUCGGUGAUCAGUUUGCGAAACGUCUUGCCGCACGCCUGGUACAGGCCCUUCUUGUCCGCGUCGGUAUCGAUCGUGGACUGAUCGUUCGGCAGCGUCAGCAUCAUCACCUUCAUCUGCGGGUAGUUGUGGUACGGCACAGUUCCGGUCGCCAUCUCGAUCGCGGUAAUGCCGAACGACUAGAAGCCGUAUCCGUGGUCCCGCUCCAUCUCCUCCGGCGCCAUCCAGCACGACGUGCCGAUAAACGUGUGGUACACCUUCUGCCGCGACAUGUCUCCAUCGGUGGCGAGCCACGCGCUCAUCCGCUAUAUUUAAGGAGCCGUCGUCGCCGGGCAGUAUGAUGGCCACCUUGAUGUCCACGUAAUGAGCAAUGCGAAAUGUGCACUCAAUUGGCAAGCGCACAGCAAGAUCCAGCAAACGUUACCGACAGUCUUUGUCGCCGUGAAAAUGCUUCUAAUGCACGGGUGAGUUGCAUUAUAACUACAAGCAUACGUUUUUUUCCUUUCUUUAGUUUCAGCUAAUGCCAGACGAACGAUCGAAUGACUGUUGCUUCGGAAGGGAGGUCGUAUUACAGAUACCGACUUGGACAUGAUCCAGUCGGUCGGUUGCAGUUGCUCCAUGGUGCUUCGGAUAAGGCAACAACGGAGAAGCGCUCCGGACGCUCCGGAGAAGCAGAUCGAGAUCGGCGAAGCGGUGUAGUGUUGUGAUAUAGUGAUUGUGUGUACAUUUAAGGUGUAAAGGGUGAUUAAUGCUAGUAACGUUGUGUAAUGUUAUGCAGAACAAAAUGCAGCAUAAAUGGCGAUGAGCCAGCAUUGUUCAAAGGUGCCGGAUGUUAUACGUUAGAGCCUUUCUUUGUGGUGUGAUGUGUUAACCACCUUGCUGCCAGUUAUUAGGAUUAGGAUUAAACCAGUAUUAGGAUUAGGAUAUAAUUAGGAUUUAAACCAGUGCCGUUGAAUAAAAUGGUGUACAACAGGUUAGAAAACAUUCGGUGUAUUUUGUUUUGUUUUUUUAAAGCUCUUUCGAUUACCUAUUACGGAAGCAAAUAUGUUUCACUAAUGUGCAAAAGAUGGUGAUGUUACAUGAUAAGUAAAUGUUGAGCGUGUUGGCGGGUUUAAAAAAAAUAUUUUACUUGUCCUGCUCCGUUGGUUGUCUGGUUGUCUGGCUGGCUGGCUGGCUGGCUGGUUGGAUGGCAGAAUGGCUCACUGGCUGGUUAGUGCAGACUAUGAUCGGAUGCGCAUUUCCCUACGCCGCAGUGCCGGGUGCAUCAUACGUCGGUGUUGGGUUGCUGUUACUGGGCCGAGCGGAUGCGCGUGCACACGUGGGAAUAAACGACACGCAACCGUGGUAUUUUAUAUUGCAUCGGUACGAUUAUCGUGUUCAAAGGCUUUUUCGAGAAAUGCCAAUACAUAAAUCGGUUAGUUCGUUUAUAUCGGUUUCUCAAACCCCUGCAAGCAAUGGUCAAUCAUUUCAGUCUUAAACUUUUGACGAACGAAUGCCUGGUCGCUAGCUGCAGCUUCCCAUCGAUGUAGGCACACGAUCUUCGAGAUUUUACUUCACCUGAUCUAGCCAUCGCACUCGCUGUGCUUCCUCGCUUCUAGUACCGAACUGAGAGCCGCUCGAACACCUAGCUGCUGGGGCACGAGGCUGCCUUCUUCACAACAUGCUCCAGCCAUCGCAAACAGCCAUGUCCGGUGCGCCAUAUGGCUUCAGUAAGCUCGUGGAUAAUCAUUCGCAUCCACACCCCAUGCUCGAAUUCACCGCCAAAGAUGAUCCGGAGGAUGCGUC